GACGAACGCUGGCGGCGUGCUUAACACAUGCAAGUCGAACGAAGAGCGAAGGAAGCUUGCUUCUAUCAAUCUUAGUGGCGAACGGGUGAGUAACGCGUAAUCAACCUGCCCUUCAGAGGGGGACAACAGUUGUAAACGACUGCUAAUACCGCAUACGAUCUAAACUCGGCAUCGAGGAUAGAUGAAAGGUGGCCUCUACAUGUAAGCUAUCACUGAAGGAGGGGAUUGCGUCUGAUUAGCUAGUUGGGGGGGUACCGGCCCACCAAGGCGAUGAGCAGUAGCCGGUCUGAGAGGAUGAACGGCCACAUUGGGACUGAGACACGGCCCAGACUCCUACGGGAGGCAGCAGUGGGGAAUCGUCCGCAAUGGACGAAAGUCUGACGGAGCAACGCCGCGUGAGUGAUGACGGCCUUCGGGUUGUAAAGCUCUGUUAAUCGGGACGAAAGGCCUUCUUGCGAAUAGUGAGAAGGAUUGACGGUACCGGAAUAGAAAGCCACGGCUAACUACGUG
rnacentral:rRNA from 1 species